UAGUAUGGGGAUCUGCCCGAUAGAGGGGAAUAACUACUGGAAACGGUGGCUAAUACCGCAUAAUGUCUACGGACCAAAGCAGGGGCUCUUCGGACCUUGCACUAUCGGAUGAACCCAUAUGGGAUUAGCUAGUAGGUGGGGUAGAGGCUCACCUAGGCGACGAUCUCUAGCUGGUCUGAGAGGAUGAUCAGCCACACUGGGACUGAGACACGGCCCAG
rnacentral:rRNA from 1 species